ACAAAAGGGUGGAUAGAAGCUAAGCUCUUUUCUCCAUGGACUGACGCAAGGGGAUCUGUUCCUCUCUUCCUCUUUGGUCUCCAUCCACGUUUACACAAAAGAAGCAAAAGAAAGGAAGGAAAAGAAAAGAGGUCUGCACGAUUUCAUAAGAAAGCAAAUGGAGAAAAGCUAUCUGGGGCAGUUCACAACAGAAGUAGAAGGAAGAAAGGACAAAAAAAGGGCGUCCGCACGUUUUCAUGAGAAAGGAAAACAGAGAAGAAAAGAAAGCUAAUGGAGAAAAUCUUGAGUUGUGCCGUACAGGUUUUGUGGGGUUUUGCAGCAAAAGACCCACAGACGCCAGCCGCAACCGCGGCCCUCUCGCGGUGCUCCAACCGACACCGCGUUCGCAGCCGUUGAUCGCUAGUCCACGCUGUGCCACUUGCUGCUGUUCUUGCGCGGCCAGACUUGUCCCAGCGACUCCUCCGGCUACCUCUGCAGAACAAAGUGAGGACGCUGAUAAUUGUCGUUUUGGACUCUUGAGUGUUAUGGAAGAACAUCACGAACGCCAACUCCUUGGGCCUUGCCUUUAGACCAUCAACACAUCCCGCCAUCUCUCAAGCCUUGUUUACCAAUGAAACGCGAAGAGAUACUUCCUUUUCAGCACUCUUCUCGAUGGACAUCUGGACUUCGGCGCCUUUUUGAUUUCGUGGUUUUCCAUUGUUUGAAGUGGAAUUCCACUCAUCGUACUUACGGAUGAAGGAUUAUCUGUGAGUUAAGCUUGCUUGGAAAAAAGCAAGGAUAGAGACAACACUUGAGCUUUGAACGAUUAUCAAGAGUUCUGGAUUUGGACGUCGCGAAACAACCGCCUCGACAAGUCCUUCCUUUUCUCCGUUGACUCCAAUGAAGCAUCAGCAUCCGCGAUUCUGGCGUCAGCCCAACGAGCCAGGCCCGACGAGCCCGCGACCAUAGAGAGCCGUCCACCAGGGUCACGCCAUCCCUCCUGCUGCUGCUGCUGACGCCCCGCCCGCAUCAGCAACCCUCUAGGCUGGAACCUCAUGCUGCCAAGCUGCCCCUACGGCCGUGACUCGCCUUCGCCGCCGCUCUUCACCGUAGCAAUAGUUCGAGCAAAUCCCGGUGAAGUGAUCAGCAUGCUUCAGCCACCGACCAGCAGCAACUCUAGCAGUCCCGACGCCGGAACA